UGGCGGCGUGCUUAACACAUGCAAGUCGAACGAGAAGAGAUGAGAAGCUUGCUUCUUAUUGAUUCGAGUGGCAAACGGGUGAGUAACGCGUAAGCAACCUGCCCUUCAGAUGGGGACAACAGCUGGAAACGGCUGCUAAUACCGAAUACGUUCUUUUUGUCGCAUGGCAGAGAGAAGAAAGGGAGGCUCUUCGGAGCUUUCGCUGAAGGAGGGGCUUGCGUCUGAUUAGCUAGUUGGUGGGGUAACGGCCCACCAAGGCGACGAUCAGUAGCCGGUCUGAGAGGAUGAACGGCCACAUUGGGACUGAGACACGGCCCAGACUCCUACGGGAGGCAGCAGUGGGGAAUCUUCCGCAAUGGACGAAAGUCUGACGGAGCAACGCCGCGUGAACGAUGACGGCCUUCGGGUUGUAAAGUUCUGUUAUACGGGACGAAUGGCGUAGCGGUCAAUACCCGUUACGAGUGACGGUACCGUAAGAGAAAGCCACGGCUAACUACGUG
rnacentral:rRNA from 1 species